rnacentral:lncRNA from 1 species
UUCACUCAGCUCCAUCAUGAGGCCUUUGUGGUCUUCCCUCUCGUACAGCCGCAGCCUGUGGGAGACUGUCUACUCGGUCCACAGAAAGAAGGAUGGAAAAAAGCAAAUGAGUCUCUUCCAGAAUUUGUCCAACCAAAGAACAGAUGAACUUGUGUGAUGGGGCCUGCGGCUGCACAGCCAGUCUAUAUAGCAGGAUGGCUGCUGCGUUGGCAAGAACAACACAAAAGGGGCCCUCAGCGACUACUACAACAGCUUCUUCAUGAUGUCCAAACCCCAAUUUGGCCUCUCUCUGAUCCUUCAUCUAUGCUGCUGUCACAUGGGCCUUCCGGUGAUCUUAUCUGAAGCAUUAAAAGCAAGAACACAGGUCUGAAAGCUUAAGGGGAUGAGUAACCCCUCCCUUCCCAGGCCCAGUCCCAAGGCGCAAGGUCACUUGUGUCAGCAGUGUGCGCCAGCAGGAUAGCAGAAGCAGGAAGAGAGCCGGCUGGAAGACACGUACCCCCGAAGAUCGAGAAAGAGGCCAUCCGGGUACAACGUAGCAGUUACGUCAGACUAGGACACUUCCUGUUUACAGGAGACUGUAAAACCUUUGCCCCGUCCUCACUUGGUGCUGACGCCAUUUUAAGCCUCGGCCUUCCUGCACUCAGGCGCACCCAGGCGCUCCUUAAAACAGCUUAUUGCUCCACACCUCCUCGUGUUGUCUGUGGACGCGCUCUUGGGGUUGGAACCGAUACAAGAACCUUACACUGCUGGGCUCAAGUGAUCUGCCUGCCUCGGCCUCCCAACGUGUUGGGAUUACAGGCGUGAGCCACCACGCCUGGCCUAUUCUUUUACUUUUUAAAAUUUUGUGAAAAACUAAGACACAAACACACACAUUAGUUUAGGCCUACACGGGGUCAGGAUCAUCAAUAUCACUGUCUACCACUUCCACAUGUUGUACCACUGGAAGAUCUUCACGGGCAAAAACACACAUGGAACUGUCACCUAUGAUGAUGAUGCUUCCUUCUGUAGUACCUCCUGAAGGCUCUGCCUGAAGCUGUUUACAGUUAACUUUUUUUUUUAAAAAAAAGUAUAAGUAGAAGGAGAAUACUCUAAAGUGAUGAUAAAAAGUAUAGUAUAGCAAGCUGGGCACGGUGGCUCACACCUAUAAUCCCAGCACUUUGGGAGGCCGAGGCAGGCGGACCACCUGAGUAUUGACUUUCUCUUUAUGUUGGAUUUAGGAGGAGGACAGGACAUCUUUUUCUUUGCCUGUAUCCCAGGGAUAGGAGCAAAAAAUUUCUAAGAAUAAUGACUUGAUCAAAGAGAUUCGGGGACUCUAAUCCCUUUCAGUUCAGAUGUUUUAGAAUAAUUUUCAUGCCUAAAGACGGUGAUUUACUUUUAUUUUUAUUUUUAGAGAUAGAGUCUCUCUCUGUUGCCCAGGCUGGAGUGCAGUGACGUGAUCUCACCUCACUGCAACCUCCGCCUCCCAGGUUCAAGCGAUUCUCGUGCUUCAGCUUCUGUAGUAGCUGGGAUUACAGGCAUGUGUCACCACGUGCAGCUAAUUUUUGUAUUUAAAUUUAGUAGAGACGGGGUUUCGGCAUGUUGGUCAGGCUGGUCUCAAACUCCUGGCCUCAAGUGAUCCGCCUGUCUUGGCCUUCCAAAAUGUUGGGAUUACAGGCGUGAGCCACUGCACCCAGCCAAAAUAUGUGAUUUUAUGUCUUCUAGGAAAAUAGUGUAAAAUUCAGCACGUUAAGAAGCUUUUGGUUUUCUGAAUUAUGUUUGACAUGUUAUUGUUGACAAACAGAGGACUCUGAUUAAUAGCUCCAGGAAGCCAUCACUAUUGUUGCGAGUUUAAAGGUUAAAGACCCAAGAUUUAGGAAGAGUUAACACUAAAUAAUCCUAGAUUCUGACUGUUUUUCAGGAAAUAAAUCUUUAUAUGUAUUUGUGUUCUCUAUAUAUACACACAUACAGUAGGCUAAUAUACAUAUACAUACAGUAGGCUAAACUUAGGCUACACAUUUUUUUAAAAUGCUUGCUUUCUUCAAUAAUAAACUAACAUUAGCAUACUGUAACUUUGUAACAUAAACUUUUUAACAUUUUAAACCUUUUUGACACUUUUGUAGUAAUAUUUAGCACACACACACACACACACACAGUAGGGUAAACUUGCAUCCAAGUUUGCCUAGAACAGUCCUGGUUCAUGUCUCUUGUCCCAGUGUAAUUAUUAAUAGUAUAUACUUUCACUCUCAAAAAUGACCCAGUGUAGGCCAGGCGUGGUGGCUCACUCCUGUAAUCCCAGCACUUUGGGAGGCCGAGGUGGGUGGAUCACCUGAGGUCAGGAGUUUGAGACCAGCCUGGCCAACAUGGUGAAACUCUGUCUCUACUAAAAAUACAAACAUUAGCCGGGCGUGGUGGCACACGCCUGUAGUUCUGGCUACUUGGGAGGCUGAAGCAGGAGAACUGCUUGAACUGGGAGGCAGAGGUUGCAGUGAGCUGAGAUUGCACCACUGAACUCCCGCCUGGGUGACAGAGUGAGACUCCAUCUCAAAAAAAAAAAAAAAAAAAACCCAAAAUCAAAACAAAUGACCGAGUUUAUGACUGGGUGUGGUGGCUCACACCUGUAAUUCUGGCACUUUGGGAGGCCCAGACAAGAGGAUCGCUUGAGCUCAGGAGUUUGAGACCAGCCUGGGCAACAUGGCAAGACCCUGUCUCUACUAGAAAUAAAAAAAAUUAGCUGAGCAUGGUGGUGUGCGCCUGUAAUCCCAGCUAUUUGGGAGGCUGAGGUGGGAGGAUCGCUUGAGCCCUGGAGACGCAGGUUUACAGGGCUGGGAUUACAGGUGUGAGCCACCACGCCCGGCCACUUAGUAUUAUUAUGUGUAAUCAUAAUAUUUUACUCUCUACUGAAAUGACAUGAGGCUGAGCUUCCCGUGCGCAUGUGGUUUUUGUAAAUGUCCUGAAAUUAUUCCACAAAGCACAUAUAGCGAAAACACAGUGAAUUCUAUUUGGACUGGAAAUCUCAUAGUGGAAUGAGAUAUUGGCAGUGGAAGUGAGAGGAAAGGGAUGGUGACUGUUAGGAGGACAGGAGUGCAAUAGGUAAGAGUGGACCAGUUCAUUUAUUUGUUUGUUUAUGGAGCUGAGGUAGGAGUCUAGAG